GGAGUUAGCCGGUGCUUCUUCUGUGAGUGAUGUCCUUCCUGCCGGCUAUUAACCCGCAGGCCUUCUUCCUCACUGAAAGUGCUUUACAACCCGAAGGCCUUCUUCACACACGCGGCAUGGCUGGAUCAGGGUUGCCCCCAUUGUCCAAUAUUCCCCACUGCUGCCUCCCGUAGGAGUCUGGGCCGUGUCUCAGUCCCAGUGUGGCUGAUCAUCCUCUCAGACCAGCUACGGAUCGUCGCCUUGGUGAGCCGUUACCUCACCAACCAGCUAAUCCGACAUAGGCUCAUCCGAUAGCGCGAGGCCCGAAGGUCCCCCGCUUUCCCCCGUAGGGCGUAUGCGGUAUUAGCCUGGGUUUCCCCAGGUUAUCCCCCACUACCGGGCAGAUUCCUAUGCAUUACUCACCCGUCCGCCGCUCGCCACCAGGGAGCAAGGGCUCCCCGUGCUGCCGCUCGACUUGCAUGUGUUAGGCCUGCCGCCAGCGUUCAAUCUGAGCCAGAAUCGAACCCUGA
rnacentral:rRNA from 1 species